rnacentral:tRNA from 1 species
GGUAUGGUGGCCGAGAUUUAGGCAAUAAAUUGUAAAUUUAUCAACGAAUUGGAUUCCCCUACCA